rnacentral:rRNA from 1 species
UACGGGGGGGGGCAAGCGUUGUUCGGAAUUACUGGGCGUAAAGGGCUCGUAGGUGGCCAACUAAGUCAGACGUGAAAUCCCUCGGCUUAACCGGGGAACUGCGUCUGAUACUGGAUGGCUGGAGUAUGGGAGAGGAAUGCGGAAUUCCAGGUGUAGCGGUGGAAAUGCGUAGAUAUCUGGAGGAACACCGGGUGGCGAAGGGCGGCAU